rnacentral:tRNA from 1 species
AGUUAAUUAGCUUAUAAAUUUAAAAGCAUAUAUUUUGAAAAUAUAAGAAAGAAUGAUUUAUUAACUU